ACAACUUUUUUAUUACUUUUUAUACGAUACCUUCUCCUUUUUCAUCAUGACACAUUGCGUUAUGUCACGUUACUGCAAGAUCAUUAAUAGCAAAGUUAUAUCGACGUGUAGUGUGUGUGUGUGUGUGUGUGUGUGUGUGUGUGUGUGUGUGCAGUUAGUGUCUUCUAAUCAAUGUUACCCUCAGGUGUUCCUCUACAGGUACGAACGGAAAUCGAAACUCCAUUGAUGUGUUACGUGAGUGCAAGCGAUUUGAAUCCAAUAACUAAACAAGUGUUGCGCUAGUCGUGGUUGGCAGUGGGAGCUAGCUAGGUCAGCCACGUCGACAGUGAAGUCAGGUCAGCAGCUUUCUCGCCUGACCUGACCCUUCGCGAACAUAGAAACUCAACAACGUACCAAACAAGUCAUCAGGAUCGCCCAAGUUUCCCCGCUACGUGCAUGCUUACCACGUCCCAGCCUCGCGCCCCGACCAGUGAACAUAAAAGCAGCAACACCCACCCAUCCCAAGUUGUGGUUGAGCUCGAGGGCCGGGUGGAGUGUGUGUCGCCCCCCGCUGCUCGCCGCCCUCCCGAGGCCCCCGGCGGCCAUAGACGGGGCGGUCCAGCGACAGGACCGGCAUCUCAGUUGGCCUUUUUUCCUCUUAUGUUGCUGCUCUUGGCCGGUGCCCCUCCUACACACACAAAAUAAAAAGAAAACGUCAAAAAGGCGGAGGCGCAGCGGGGGCGGAUCAACAGCACCUCUGUCACCACCUUCACGCUCCGGGGACCAGGCGGCGAUGACUGAUACUGAAGUGCCUGGAGCGUGGGCACGGAGCGAGGCUUGAGGAAAUGUCGAGUCUGCCUGAACGCUGUGGCCUCGAUGACCAGUCCGACCAUCUCAUAAACCGAAUUCGUAAAAUAGAAAGUACGUACGUACUUUCCACUGUACCUUGUUUAUUGAAACGGAGGAUUUUGUGUACUUACCCAUUAAGUGUACUCAAAAGAGUACAGUUAUUUUUCCCCUUUCAGAAAUGUCUCGCAUUAAAAAAAAAAAAAAAAAAAAAAAAAGCACAAGCUUUUUGCUCAAAGAUUUGUCUCGCGAGGCACAAACAGCAAGACGCAAUGGGCGGCGUGGCGCGGGGUCGGCGGAGCUCCGAGUAUAAUGUACACAGAGGGCGGCGUGAGGGCGAGGGCGGCCUCUGGGCGAGCGUAUACACAUGUCGGGCCAAGUGUAAACCAAGCUGAUGAUUGCCCCGUCCAAGGCCCCGCACCCCGGCAGGCGAUGACGGAGAGGCGCUGGUUAGGGCGGCAGGAGACUAAUUUUAAUACGGCACUCGACGAGAUAAGAGCUGAGGAGGAGGAGAAAGAAGACAAGGACGCGAUUCACACUGCGUGAUGUAAUGUUUUAUUGUCUCAUUUCUUUUCCUUAUCACACACUGACCUGCUCAUAAGAACAUAAGACAUAAAAAAAAAGCUUACCUAUUUCUACCUAUCAGACCCGUCCAUGAUAUGUUUAAUCUUUUAAAGCUCCCUGUUGACUCAACACAUUAGUGGAGAGAGGAGACUAGACAAGGCGUAGACGGGAGAAAAGACGUGUUACUCGUAUAUGCCAAGCGGAGUUGUGAUGUAUAGUAAGAUAAAUAAAUAAAUAAAAUAAAUACAAAUUAAUAAAACAAAUACAUAACAUAAACGAUAAAAAAAAUAAAUAAAUAAAUACUUAAUAAUAAAACCGAACUUCUUGA